rnacentral:lncRNA from 1 species
AUAGGCAAAGGAGAUCUUAAAAAGCCAAGAGGCAAAAUGCCAUCGUAUGUAUUUUGUGUGCAAACUUGUCCGGAGGAGCGUAAGAAGAAACACCCAGAUGCUUCAGUCAACUUCUCAGAGUUUUCUAAGAAGUGCUUAGUGAGGGGGAAGACCAUGUCUGCUAAAGAGAAAGGACAAUUUGAAGCUAUGGCAAGGGCAGACAAGGCCCGUUACGAAAGAGAAAUGAAAACAUAUAUCCCUCCUAAAGGGGAGACAAAAAAAGUUUAAGGAUCCCAAUGCACCCCAGAGGUCUCCUUCAGCCUUUUUCUUGUUCUGUUCUGCGUGUGGCCCAAAAGUCAAAAGAGAACAUUCUGGCCUGUCCAUUGGUGAUUCGGCGAAGAAACUGGGAGGGAUGUGGAAUAACACUGCUGCAGAUGACAAGCAGCCUUAAAAAGAAGUCUGCAAAGCUGAAGGAAAAAUACAGAAAGGAUACUGCUACAUAUUGAGCUAAAGGAAAGUCUGAUGCAGCCAAAAAGGGAGUUGUUGAGGCUGAAAAAAGCAAGAAAAAGAAAGAAGAGGAAGAAGAGGGAGAGAAUGAGGAGGAGGAAAAUGAAGAAGAUGGUGAUGAUGAAUAA